AUGCAUGCAUGCAGUUUACACUUAAUGAGUGGCUCCUAUGUUCCAUGCCACGUGCUAGGUGCAAAACAUACAAACCAAUGUGGUUCUGGUGCUUAAGGAGCUUCCACUGAGUGUCCCUCCUGCUCAGCUCUCUCCAAAAUGACACUGGAGAUUGCUUCUGUGGCCAAAGUUUAAUCGGGAGAAGCGAUGGGGGCUAAUUUAAAACUAAAAGGAAAGAGAAAGCAGAAGCCCAAACCGCUGCUGUCUCAAAGUGGGAGAAAGGGAGGCUGGCUGUGAUGUUCUAAGGGUAGAAGGGGCCCUCAGAAAUUCUCACCUCCCUCCCUCACUUGCAGAUGAAACAACUGUCACUUCCACAGAGAGGAAGCAACUGGCCCAGGGUACAUAGCAAGCUAGCAGCAGACAGAACUGGAAUUGCCAUCCCGGCCAGGGCCGGUGCUUUUAGAAGCACCCUGUGUUUUCUCCUUUUGUCGUCACCUGUGGAGGUGGGCUUCAAUACUCUCUAGCUCCUCACUGCUCCCCCUCCUGCCUUGAGCCUUGCAUUUUCCCUUUAGGGCAAACUGUUACAAGCUCUGAACUGGGAUGGGCCAAUCUUGGUCUUUGGGGCCACUAGGAAAUACCCGAAGGAAGUUGCCCAUUGGGAGGGGGGGUGCCCUUUUAACCUGAGCAGAGAGCAGCUAUUUAGGAAUUGCCACUCAACCUCCUGCCCGUGGCGGUGGUGUGGGAACCGCUGGCUGUUUAAAGUUUCCCUAUGGCCA
rnacentral:lncRNA from 1 species